UGCAACUGAGCCACUGUAACCAGCCGAGAACAAUCAAUCCUGGGAAGGGCCCGCACAUCCACAAUGGUAGAAGACCUAGACUUAAUAUUUUCUUAGGAAGAUUUAUUUAGGUCUCAUUAAACUUGACUUGAUAUAGUCAUAACAAUUAUGACUAACCUAGUGGCAUGGGUUAGCUCGAAUUGUUAGCCACAUCUAAUCAAAACUGAGUCGACACAUAUGGCC
rnacentral:lncRNA from 1 species